rnacentral:rRNA from 1 species
AUUGAACGCUGGCGGAAUGCUUUACACAUGCAAGUCGAACGGUAGAGGGGGCAACCCCUCGAGAGUGGCGAACGGGUGAGUAAUAUAUCGGAACGUGCCCAGUCGUGGGGGAUAACGUAGCGAAAGUUACGCUAAUACCGCAUACGAUCUAAGGAUGAAAGCGGGGGAUCGCAAGACCUCGCGCGAUUGGAGCGGCCGAUAUCAGAUUAGGUAGUUGGUGGGGUAAAGGCUCACCAAGCCAACGAUCUGUAGCUGGUCUGAGAGGACGACCAGCCCAACUGGAACUGAGACACGGUCCAGACUCCUACGGGAGGCAGCGGUGGGGAAUUUUGGACAAUGGACGCAAGUCUGAUCCAGCCAUUCCGCGUGCAGGAUGAAGGCCCUCGGGUUGUAAACUGCUUUUGUACGGAACGAAAAGGUCUCUCUUAAUACGGGGGACUCAUGACGGUACCGUAAGAAUAAGCACCGGCUAACUACGUGCCAGCAGCCGCCGUAAUAC